AACCGGUGUGUUUUAAAAGUUUUGCUUCGUAAUGAUGUCGUCAUAAAUUCAUUCUGAAUACGUAAGUGUAUUCACUUUCUUUUAUGUAAUAUGCUCCGGAUUAUUGUAAAGUAUUUCGCUUCCUUAAGUUGAGCAUUUAGCUUCUGAGAUCUCUGCAGACACUGAUAAUACGAAACACAAGGACGACGACGACGAUGACGACGGUGGUGGUGGGGAGAAGUGGCGACAGAAACAACGGUGAUGACGAUGACAACAACGAAGGCUGACACGGCGAAAGUGAAGGUGAAAGCGAAGGCGAUGACGAUGACAGCGACGAGGAAGGUAACAACGGAAACAACGACGACAACAAUAACAACAACAAACAACCCUCAUUAACAACAACGACAAUAGGAACAACAAAACGCAGUAGGCUCCUAUGCCAGGCUUGGGUAACCGUUUUCGAGACGCGGGCCGCAUGAAACAUGACACUACUAAGAAAAUUUCAAGGUAAUUUUUCCUUGGCGCGCCAUUCAGAUAAUCUCGCAGAUUCAUCACUAUUCUACGAUGUUGCUCGUACUACUAGACAUACAUACAUAUAUACAUACAUACAUACAGUCGAAAAUAUCUCUUUGAAAAUCAAAGAAAAGGAGGAUAUCUAUGGACAACUGCUUCGAAACCACCAGCUUCUAUAUCCAGACUUUGAAUUCAUAUUCAUAUCAAUAAUAAUUGGAGCGCUAGGUUUUGCUUGUAAAUGUUUAAUGGAGAAUCUGGAAAAAGUGGGAUGUUAAGAAAGAGAAAUCGACCGGCUAAUUCGUACAUGACAAGUGCAAUCUGUGAGUGGAGCAGUAAAAAUAUGCAAGACCCUUCCCAAGUUCCAAAUGUGAAUUUGUCAGAUGGAGCCUUGUAUCUUUGUUGGAAACCGGCUCCCUCCUAAGUGAAAGAUUUAUAAUAAUUAAAAGAUAGAAGAGACAUACAUACAUAUAUGUAUGUACUGUAUUUGUGUAUGACUUUGUGUUUGUCCCAUAGCGCAACACCCUGGACAAGUGUCUCCACAUACUUUCAAAUUCACACAAUUACUGUGUAAAUUUGGUAGAUGGAAACUGCAUGGAAGUCCGACAUAUAUAUGUGGAUGCGUGUGUGUGCACUGUGUAUGUGUGUGAGCAUGUGGGUGUGCAUGUGUGUGCAUGUAUGUGAUCAUAUGCAUACAUCUGUGUGUGUGUGUGUGUGUGUCUCACUGCCGCUUGACAACCGGUGAUGGUCCGUUUGCGUUCCUGUAACAUAACGAUUCAGCGAAAGAUACCGAUAGAGUAAGUGCCAGGCUUCAAAAAUAAGCACUCUGGCGAUUUUUCCGACUAAACUCGUCAAGGUAGCAUUCCAAGAAGACCACAAGUCGUGAAACAAGUAAAAAAUAAAGAUAUAAAAAAAAAACAGAAGACAAAAGUGUGAGCUUGUAGCCAGAUGAGAAAGACAAUAAACGUCAUAAGUUGUAAGACGUGUAAAUGUUUGCGUGAUGUCAUGAGGGCAACACAGAGCUCCCCACAUUGUUACUUCAGAAUUCUUGUGAUUAUGUAAGUGACCAUAAAUCAGAUGUCUUUUAUGACUGUUUAUUUCUAAGUCGGCUAGCGGUGGUCCAUGUGAGUAAUUAAUGUUAACGAAUGAGGAAAGCCAGUUUGUUCGGAACUUCAAAAACUCUCAGAUCCCCUCAACAUUUCUAAGAUUCUCCCACCACCGUCAUCCCUUAGCAAGGUUUUAUAUGUGACUGUUUAAUCAUGUCAUGUACAAAAGAAGCCUUGGAACUCUCUGAAUUUCAAAGAAGCCGUAUUGUGGGUCAAUCUGAAUGGGGACAUAGCCAGCGUAAAAUCGCAGAAAACCUUGGGAUCCCGCUUUCUACAGUUAAUAGAACGAUUGUGCAAUUCACCAGAGAGGGGAAGGAGUCCUCAUCACCUCUCCCAGGACCCUUCUCUUUGUUAAGAGAAGUGAGGAGGAUAAUCCUUGUUGCAAGGCCCCUGACGUAGCAGAACAAUUUGAUGUCAGUCUGAGAACAGCUGUCAGGUAUCUCCUCAAACUUGGUUACUAUGGCAGAGCAGCAAGAAGGAAGCCACUUCUUCAACCAGCCAACAUCAAGCGGAGAAAAGAUUGGGCCAGUGAGAUAGUGGAGAGACCACUAGUAUUUUGGUACACUGUCAUAUUCUCUGAUGAGUCCAGAUUUGGUAUAUUUCCUGACAGUAGUUGAGUAUGGGUCUGGAGACUCUGUGAUCAAGAAUUUGAUGUGAAAAGAUUGCAGCCAGCAAUGAAACACGGCGGCUAUUCUGUAAUGGUCUUGGGAGCAAUUUGGAGCAAUUGUUUGAUCAGAGCUGGUGGAGUUUGAGGGAAACAUAAAUUCAGAUAAAUAUGUGUCCAUAUUGCAGAAAGACUUCCUUCCAAUUUUCUCCAGUGGCGAAAUGAUUAAAGAAGACUCUUUAUUUAUGGAAGAUGGGGCUCCUUGUCACACCACUAAAAUGACCCAAGAUGUUUUGGAUGAGAAUGGCAUUAAAAAGCUUCCAUGUCCAAGCCAGUCACCAAAUAUGAAGCCUGUUGAACACCUCUGAGACAUAAUGGACAGGACACUUGAUAAAAAGAACAAGAAAGCAUCUUCAAAGUCAGAUCUUUUAAGAUUACUGCACGAAACUUGGCAACAAAUUCUGCAAGCGAAUAUUCGUCAUCUGAUCAGUAAUAUGUCUAAUAGGGUCCUUGCAUUGAAAAAUACAAAGGGCACACCUACUAAAUUUUAAA